ACUUAAGACAGGCCAGCAUGCGGACAAGAAGACCCACCCACGCCGCCCAGGAGACAAGAUACUUCAACAUACAAGUUACUGCUAAAAGGCACUAAUACCAAAUGGCAGAUAAACACUGGCAUUUGCAACCAGCAAAGUAAUGACAAAACCCACUAUUCUGCAGGUGUCAUAGUCACAGAACUCAUACACACAUUCAGAGCAAAGUGCAGUACUGUGAAAAAGUCUUAGGCAGUCAAAGAAAACAAUGUUUGAAUGAUCUUCACGUUGGUGUAAAACCAUGUCUGUAAAAGUGCUAGCGUAACCAUGUUAAAACCUCUCCUGAAAUCACCCCAGUAUUUGCAGCAACCAUCCAAUAUAGCCUCACAUUUUUUUGACAUGACCACUAGCACCCCUUGUAUGGCUAAUCAACACCCCACAGACUUUUAAAACUAGUUUAAUCAAUUAAGUGAACUGGUGGUGAAAUUGACAAAUAUAUGGAAUGACUGAGGUGCUCCUGAUGAGAGGUUUGGAAACUGAAGAAGUGUUCUUCUAGUCAUCCAAUUAGAUAUCAAUAAUUAUUCAAAGAACUGAGGAAAUUGUUAGUUUUCAUUGUUACUGUUAAUUUGCAUAUGUUCUUAUGUUAAAUUGUCAUUUUUGUUCUGAGCAAAUGUGCACUUACUACCCAGAUAAGUAUAAUAGAUACCACUUAUAGUCAUGUUUGUUGGGAUAAAAUUGAUCACUAUAAGCAGAUGAUCAUUAUAACCAAUUUUUUAUUCUUUAUGUCUCAGGUAGAUUGGCCAUAUUAUUGAUUUCGGGUCACUGCUCGUGCAGUCAACUGGUUGGCUUGUAGAGUAGCCGUUUCAUUUAUUUUGUAUAUUUUGUGUAUUUAUUUUGUGCAUAGUUUGUCAACGCAUUUCUUUAGGAGGAGUGAUACUCACAGUCUUGAUAACUGCACUCUUUCACAUGUUAUUUAUUUAUUUUUAAUGUACGGGUGCGUCUACCGACUCCGCCAUUGUUCUUGCCAGCUGCUGUAUGGACUACUAAAACGGAGCCUGGAAUUUACAUGCGUUUACAUUUACAGCAUGGACAGCCAAGGACAUCUUAGUGCUGAUCAUCUUGCUUUUCUGGUUAUUUGUGGAGUUUCUCAGCCAACCUCAACGGACUCAACUUUCCCGAUGUACAGCGGAUCGCCUACUCCAGAGACUUUCUACAGCGGUUUGCUCCUCGCCACUUCCAUACCACUCCCAUAGAUGGCAUACCGCAGGAAAUACUACAAGACCACAAAACUCACAACAACAAAAAAGGGCAACUGCAACCACAGCCACAGAAAUCAUCAAGAAAACAAUCAACAGGCUGGAAAUCAUAUCCCCUGACUCCCCCAAAUGAAUCCUUGGAGACUUUAAUCACUGCUCACCUGGAAAGUCUCUAAAAGGUUUUCAGCAGUACAUCACGUGCCCCACCCAUCAGGGGAAGACUUUGGACAAAUGCUAUGGAUCUGUCCCUGGUGCAUAUAAAGCCUUUGCUCUUCCCCCACUUGGCAAUGCUGAUCACCACACUAUCCUGCUAGCUCCAGCCUACACCCCUGUCAUAAGGAGAGCAGAGAUGGUUGUAAAAAAACAUCAAGCAUCCCAACAAUAAACCUUGGGUAACUAAAGAACUUAAAGAAAUUCUCAAUAAAAACACAAUCUUGAGAAGGAGGAGGUUAACAAAGAGGUCAAAAGAGCCAGAGAAAACGUCAAGCUGACAUACAAGUACAAGGUGGAGGAAAAAUUUGGUCAAGGAUGCCUCCGCUCAGCCUGGCAAGGAAUUAAGAAUAUGGCCACUGUGAACACUGCCCCCACCACCCACAGAACCAUCUAGGUGGCAGGCAGCAGCCCAGCAUCCCUCCCCAACUACCUCAACUCCUCCUUCUCCAGGUCAGACGGACAGUUCCUGCCUCAUUGUGUUCACCUACUCCCUACUGCCUACUGGAACAGAUCUCAUCGUCAUCAGAGGAGGUUAUGAGAGCCCUCAAGAAUACCAAGGAGAACACAGCACUUGGCCCAGACAAUAUUAGUAGCCAUGUUCUACGUCAUUGCGCAGGGCAGCUGGGGGGCGUGUUACAGCUCCUGUUUCAAAGAUCAGUAGAGAGCUACACAGUUCCCCAGUAAUGGAAGCACUCCACGGUGGUCCCCAUCCCUAAGAAGAGCUCAGUCAGGGCUCUGAACGACCUUAGGCCUAUGGCUCUGACCUCACUUGUGAUGAAGACCAUGGAGAGAGUCAUAAAGAAGCACAUCGUCAAGAUGACUAAUGCUCUGAUGGACCCUCUGCAGUUCGCAUACCAGGCAGGUAGAGGGGUUGAUGACACAAACUUAUUCAUCAUGGACACCAUGCACAGGCACCUUGAACAUCCCAACACCUCAGCUAGACUUCUGUUUGCUGACUUUUCAUCAGCAUUCAAUACUAUGCAGCCACAUAUCCUUGCAGAGUAAUUAUCCACCCACUUCCACCUGGAUGACUAGCUAGUUCUGUGGAUCCGAGAUUUUUUUAGCCAACAGAACACAGAGAAUGCUGGUUAACAAAAUCUUCUCCGACCUCUCCUUCUCCUCCACUUGCUCUCCUCAAGGCUGUGUCCUCUCACCUCUGCUCUUCAUCCUCUACACAGAUGACUGCAGGUCUUCCCACCCUGACCGAUAUCUGAACAAGUAUGCGGAUGACACUGUUCUUCUGUCUCUGCUCUCUGGCCCUUCUCACCACCACAACACAAUGCUCCACAAGUUUAUGUAGUUGUGUGACCACACCUCACUAGAGCUGAACGUGGAGAAGACAAAAGUGAUGUUGGUGACCUUUUCCAACAAGCAGAGGGAACUAGCAGCAGAAGUCACCAGCACAAUCCAUAGGAAGACUGCGGAACUUGUGGAGGAGUACAGACAUCUGGGCACUCUUUGAUAGUAUGCUCAGGUUUGCCUCCAACACUGAGGAGGUUCUAAGGAGAUUCCAGCAGCGGCAGUAUCUCCUGAGGAAACUCAGCAGCUUUGGAGUCAACAAGAACAUCUUGAGGACAUUCUACUACUCCUUCAUUGAGUGUGCCAUAACAUUCUCAAUAACCUGCUGGUUCCAUACCACAACUCUGCAUGAUAGAGCCUGCCUGCAGAGGAGAGUCAAGAUGUGCUCUAAAAUAAUUGGAUCCCUAGUCAGAACUCUGUCCUCCUUCUGUGAGCUCUAAACACUGAGAACAGCACGCAAAAUCCUACAAGACUCUUCACAUGUGCUGUUUCCAGCCUUUGAAUGGCUUCCUUCUGGGCGCCGAAUCCGCUGCCCGGUUUGUAGGACACAAAGGAGAAGAGCCACUUUUGUUCCAAGGGCUGUUCAACUUGUUAACUUGAAGCCACUAUCAUCCUCUGCCUUUACGCACCAAACCCCAUAAAGGUAUAAACCACAUUCUCAUUCCCCA